AGUAUUAUGUCUGAUUAAAGUAAUAAAUUGUAAAUUUAUUUAAGAAGUAAAAUUCUGAUACUA
rnacentral:tRNA from 1 species